rnacentral:snoRNA from 1 species
GCCCUCUCAGGAUCACACCUGGAGGAUUUCCAGUAUUCUACCAGUGUUGACUAUGGGAAGGAGAGUCAAGUAGAGGCUUACCCAUUCCAUUCCUAGCUUGGCCAGUGGCUAGGGAGUGGAAGGCAAUCUGCUGCAGUC